rnacentral:lncRNA from 1 species
UGUAAAUAUGCUACUCUCUCUGCGGAAAAUCCCCACGUACUUUUUAAACACUUACAACGAGACUGUACCAUUUGUUACUAGUCUUGUUGCUUGUCAAUGUUACUUAUCUAGUAUGCAACAUGUCCACAGCCAAAAAUCCACAUGGGAACAUCCACAAUUUCCGAAAACGCAACAGUUUGUCCACGAACACAACAACCAUUAGCACAUAUCUACAACCUCUAUCCAGUGUUUACAUCUCCUGCUGGUGUCUGGUUCAAUGUCCACAAACACAACAUCGACAUGUCCACAAAUACAACAUCCACAUGUAAGCAUCCACAAGCAGAGUCGGAAAGAAGAUGUAGACAUGUGAGCGUCUACAAACAUAAGUCUCUCUUCAUAAGUGACCAUCUACAAACAUAAGUCUCUCAUGUGAGCAUCCACUUGUCCACAAACACAUCAACCACAAUUUCCGAAAACACAUCAACUUGUCCACAAACACAACAUCCACAUGUGAGCAUCCAUACCCAAGCAGAGUCGGAAAGAAGAUGUCUUCACCUACUCUCACCACCUACGUAUCCCUCUUAAUUGCACUCUCUACCAAUAUACCAAUAUUUAGAUUAUAUUCUCAGCCUUAGAUCUUAUGCAUAUAAAUAGAUCUAA